rnacentral:lncRNA from 1 species
AUUGAAAUGCGUGUUACCAAAAAACUAGUUUAAUGAUUAAUUUGAUAACGAUUUCCAAUUUUCUAGAACACAUUGUUUAUGAUUCUUUAUGGAAUAACUUAGUUAUGCAAAAGUGCAUGAAUCAAACAGACCCUAAACAAACACGGCGUUUAUAUUGUAAAUAUAGAUUUGCGUUUCUGUUUGUUAUAGUUAUUGUUUAUGUUUCAUUUAUUUAUAGAAAAAAAUAUUGUU